rnacentral:rRNA from 1 species
UACAGAGGGUGCGAGCGUUAAUCGGAAUUACUGGGCGUAAAGCGUGCGCAGGCGGUUUGUUAAGACAGAUGUGAAAUCCCCGGGCUUAACCUGGGAACUGCAUUUGUGACUGGCAAGCUAGAGUAUGGCAGAGGGGGGUAGAAUUCCACGUGUAGCAGUGAAAUGCGUAGAGAUGUGGAGGAAUACCGAUGGCGAAGGCAGCCCCCUGGGAUAACACUGACGCUCAUGCACGAAAGCGUGGGGAGCAAACAGG